rnacentral:rRNA from 1 species
UACAGAGGGUGCGAGCGUUGUCCGGAAUCACUGGGCGUAAAGGGCGCGUAGGUGGCGGCCCAAGUCCAUGGUGAAAGCUCGAUGCUCAACAUCGAGUCGGCCACGGAUACUGGGUUGCUCGAGCACUGUAGGGGCAGAUGGAAUUCCGGGUGUAGCGGUGGAAUGCGUAGAGAUCCGGAAGAACACCGGUGGCGAAGGCGGCACUCUGGGCUGGUACUGACGCUGAGGAGCGAAAGCGUGGGUAGCAAACAGG